rnacentral:rRNA from 1 species
AUUGAACGCUGGCGGCAGGCCUAACACAUGCAAGUCGAGCGGAUGAAGGGAGCUUGCUCCUGGAUUCAGCGGCGGACGGGUGAGUAAUGCCUAGGAAUCUGCCUGGUAGUGGGGGAUAACGUCCGGAAACGGGCGCUAAUACCGCAUACGUCCUGAGGGAGAAAGUGGGGGAUCUUCGGACCUCACGCUAUCAGAUGAGCCUAGGUCGGAUUAGCUAGUUGGUGGGGUAAAGGCCUACCAAGGCGACGAUCCGUAACUGGUCUGGGAGGAUGAUCAGUCACACUGGAACUGAGACACGGUCCAGACUCCUACGGGAGGCAGCAGUGGGGAAUAUUGGACAAUGGGCGAAAGCCUGAUCCAGCCAUGCCGCGUGUGAAGAAGGUCUUCGGAUUGUAAAGCACUUUAAGUUGGGAGGAAGGGCAGUAAGUUAAUACCUUGCUGUUUUGACGUUACCAACAGAAUAAGCACCGGCUAACUUCGUG